GACGGAGGAUGCAAGUGUUAUCCGGAAUCACUGGGCGUAAAGCGUCUGUAGGUCGUUUAAAAAGUCUACUGUUAAAAAUUGAAGCUUAACUUCAAAGGUGCCGUAGAAACUUUUAAACUUGAGUAUGGUAGGGGUAGAGGGAAUUUCCAGUGGAGCGGUGAAAUGCGUAGAUAUUGGAAAGACCACCAAUGGCGAAGGCACUCUACUGGGCCAUUACUGACACUGAGAGACGAAAGCUAGGGGGAGCAAAUGGG
rnacentral:rRNA from 1 species